UACGGAGGGUGCAAGCGUUAUCCGGAUUCACUGGGCUUAAAGGGUGCGUAGGCGGGUAAGUAAGUCCGUGGUGAAAUCUCUGAGCUUAACUCAGAAACUGCCGUGGAUACUAUUUGCCUUGAAUAUUGUGGAGGUGAGCGGAAUAUGUCAUGUAGCGGUGAAAUGCUUAGAUAUGACAUAGAACACCAAUUGCGAAGGCAGCUCACUACACCAUCAUUGACGCUGAGGCACGAAAACGUGGGGAUCAAACAGG
rnacentral:rRNA from 1 species